UCUUUUUCGAUGUUUCAUUUUUUGAUUUUUUUCAUUUUAAACACUCGUUCAAGAAUCAUAACUUUGCGUUUCCUUCAGCAACUUGAUACUGGUAAACCACUUUUCUAUGAAAAUACUGUUAAAAAACCCUCGCAUGGUACGAAAAGAAGCCCUAUAGAAGGUAACGUUGUGCCUUACGAAGUUACGUUUUCAACAAGUUACAGUUUUUUUCUUAAUUCCUACAUCAAUUAUUUAUAGAACAGAUAUAUUAUUUUAUUAUAACAUUGGCAAUGGAUGACAGCGAAUCCGAGAUCAAGAUAUUUCACUAAUAAUUUCAAAUAAAAAAUUUAAUUGGAAUGAAAAUGGGGAAUAUGUGCUAAAAAGACAACAACACGACCAAAGAGCUGAGAACAGCUGAAGGCCACCAAAUGGUCUUUAAUGCAGCGAGAAACUCUCAUUCAUGGAGGCUUGCUUCAAUUGACCCCUAAACAAAAGUUACUAGUUCAGUGAUUAUGGACUUCAUAGUCAUACUAAACUUAAGUUAGAAUUAUACACAAGAAUCUAUAAUUGAAAAUCAAAGGCCAGACGAUCCUGACUUGGGACCCUAGAGAAUUUAAGCAUUACAAAUGUAAUUAUAAGGGCCUCAAUGAACAUGGACAAAACUAAUACAUAAAGAUUUUAGACAUGAAUAUUAAUAAAAAAGAAGAUGUGGUAUUCUUGCCAAUGAGACAACUGUCCACAAGAGACCAAAAUGACACAGACAUUAACAACUACAGGUCACUGUAUGGCCUUCAACAAUGAGCAAAUCCCAUACUGCAUAGUCAGCUAUAAAAGGCCCCAAUAAGACAAUGUAAAACAAUUCAAACGAGAAAACUAUAAAAGGCCUUAUUUAUAUAAAAAAAAAUGAACGAAAAAUAAAUAUAAUAUAUAUAUGUAACACAUAAAAAAACGACAACCACUGAAUUACAGGCUUCUGACUUGGGACAGGCACAUACAUGAAUAAUGUGGCGGGGUUAAACAUGUUAGCGGGAUCCCAACCCUCCCCUAACCUGGGACAGUGGUAUAACAGUACAACAUAAGAACGAACUAUAAAAAUCAGUUGAAAAAGGCUUAACUCAUCAGAUGGACAAAAAUACAAAUGGACGUGAAAUGAAGCCUUUUUGCUACAUUGUAUAUGUAUAAAAUAUGUAAUAAUGAAUAUUAUACCUAUUUGUAUUUGUUUUUAUUUCAGCUUGAUUCCAAUCUUUGGCAAUGGCUAAUACAAGAAGAGGCAAGGCAUACAUGUACAUGUAUAUGUACAAUACAUGAUUCUCUGUAGCAAUUGGAUUGUCUAUUCACCC
rnacentral:lncRNA from 1 species